CGCCGCGCAGGCGGCCUUUUAAGUUGGAUGUGAAAGCCUAUGGCUCAACCAUAGAACUGCAUCCAAAACUAUCAGGCUAGAGUGUGGGAGAGGAAGAUGGAAUUAGUUGUGUAGGGGUAAAAUCCGUAGAGAUAACUAGGAAUACCAAAAGCGAAGGCAAUCUUCUGGAACAUUACUGACGCUGAGGCGCGAAAGCGUGGGGAGCAAACAGGAUUAGAUACCCUGGUAGUACACGCCCUAAACGAUGAAUGUUAGUCGUCGGGUAGCUAGUCUAUUCGGUGAUGCAGCUAACGCAUUAAACAUUCCGCCUGGGGAGUACGGUCGCAAGAUUAAAACUCAAAGGAAUAGACGGGGACCCGCACAAGUGGUGGAGCAUGUGGUUUAAUUCGAAGAUACGCGAAGAACCUUACCUAGCCUUGACAUAUUUAAGAACACUUUAGAGAUAGAGUGGUGCCUUCGGGAGCUUUUAUACAGGUGCUGCACGGCUGUCGUCAGCUCGUGUCGUGAGAUGUUGGGUUAAGUCCCGCAACGAGCGCAACCCUCGUCACUAGUUACUAACGGUUCGGCCGAGGACUCUAGUGAGACUGCCUUCGUAAGGAGGAGGAAGGUGAGGACGACGUCAAGUCAUCAUGGCCCUUACGGCUAGGGCAACACACGUGCUACAAUGGCCAGGACAAUGAGACGCGAUACCGCGAGGUGGAGCAAAUCUAUAAACCUGGUCUCAGUUCGGAUUGUAGUCUGCAACUCGACUACAUGAAGCUGGAAUCACUAGUAAUCGUAGAUCAGCUAUGCUACGGUGAAUACGUUCCCGGGUCUUGUACUCACCGCCCGUCACACCAUGGGAGUUGAUUUCACCCGAAGCGGGGAAGCUAAACUGGCUACCCUCCACGGUGGAAUCAGCGACUGGGGUGAAGUCGUAACAAGGUAACC
rnacentral:rRNA from 1 species